AAGAGGAGCUUGAACAUUAUCGCAAGCAGUAGCCUACUUUAAACAGAUUUUAACAUUUCGACGGCAAAUAAUGCAUUAAUUGAAACGUCUUCUCAUGAAGGAAGUGACGAAUAAGGAUUGCAACAACAGCAUACAGCGAUCUUUAUAAACAAAGGCCCUUUUCUCUACAAUUCCUAAGAUCUAUUGAAUCUAGCCAGUUACGUCAAAAUCAAAUACAAACUGAGGAUAUACUAAAAUGGAACAAGGUGGAUUAACAUCAGUAUCAGGAAUGCCGGCAACAAACUCUAGUGUACUGAAAAACGAAAGUGAAAUCUUAGAAUUAAAUCACAAGGAAGCAUUCGGCAGAAUAUCGUUUGGUUUGGGUUGUGUUAUCAUCGCCAUAAAUAUUUGUAUCAUUAGCAUGCCUGAUAAGACAUAGAAGGCAUGUCAGUGGAGCCGGGCUUUGGCAGCAACUUCUUUUCCUUUGACUUACCGACAUCCUGACAGGCGUAGCUAUUUCAGUUUUCACUUUAGGUUCAUUCUUUUUAUUUAAACAUCCCUCUAUACAUGACUUUUUCUGUGUAACUGGUAUUUUUCUUUUCCCAUUGUCAAUCACCUUGUCAGCUGGAAACUGUUGUAUUAUAAGCAUACUGAGGUAUAUCUCUGUAAGGACAUUGAAUACGCAAGUUACCAAGUGGGAUAAACGGACAUCACUUUUUAUGAUUUCAAGCAACAUUUUGAUAUGUCUUGUUACUGUCAUAGGCUCUGUGGCCGUUGUAACCAUUCGCUUUGGUUUUCAUCCUAAGGAAUUUUGCGAUAUGAUUAAUUCUAGUGGACAAAAUGAGUACAAGGCAAGCUAUAUUAUAGGGGGUGAAAUAUUAUUAGUUUUGUUUUUGCUGUGCACGAAUACGUUUACCUCCCUAAGUAUCAUAAAAUUGACAAAACUAGGAAAUGCCCAGUUGACCCGUAGAA